AUGGGUCCUGGCCAGACUCCCUUAAGAGACCUCAGGACUCCUGUCCCUCCUCAGGGCCCCGCAGCCUGGGGUGCCCCUUUGAUGAGGUCUGUGAUCCCCCCCAGAGCAUCCCCCGACAAGGACUCUACAAGAGCAGCCUGGAGUCGCCACAGCAAGGCCUGCUGCGACUAAGGGCUCUCCGCCUCUGCCUCAGGGAGCAGGUGCAGGCACUCACUUUUUCCAGUGGUCCUCUCGGUCUGAUUUAAUGGAUAUACCAGGACUGAUGACACAUCAGCACGGGAUCUUGCUGCUGCUUCUUGGGUAAUUGUCCUAUUAACAGCUGUCCCAGGCGAAGGGGGGGCGGUGCGGAGGAGUGGGGAGGGAGGGAGGAGGGUGACUUCCUGGGUAAAGGACACACCCUGGAUUUUACAAGGCGGUGUGCACCUGCUCAGACUUGAUCUGGGCUCUAGACAGAGGGGAAGACUGUCUUUUGAUCUCCACUCCCUACACUGAAGACUGUUAAAUAUUCUAGGUGCCGACACCCUGCCGGGCCUCAUGGCUGCUGCUGAGAUUGUCUCUGUAUCUUUAUUCUUCUCAGCCCUUGCAGUGGGUCAGCAGGUUUUUUGUUUGUUCGGGUUUUUGUUUUUUUGUUUUUUUGCUUUUUAGGUAUGCACCCGCAGCAUGUGGAAGUUCCCAGGCUAGGGGUUGAAUUGGAGCUGCAGAUGCUGGCCUACACCGCAGGCCCAAUGACACGAAUACUUAAGCCACUGAGCGAGGCCAGGGAUCAAACCUGCGAACCUAUGGAUAUUAGUCCGUUUUGUUACUACUGAGCCAUGAUGGGAACUCCAGGGCCAGCAAAUCUUUGUCUUUCCCUUUUGCCUUCCCAGCUUUAUAUAACUGCUGAGGAAACUUUUUCUUCCACCCCCAGUCAUUCUUUAACCCAGUAACACAGUUCCUGAGCCACCUUUUUCCCACUUUACAGUCAAACAAUCAUUAUACACAUUCAAACAUAGUACUUGCAGUGGGGAGGCAAACGAAAACAAACAGGCGAGGAUGGGCAAAAACCAAAGAGGUUUCCUCACUCCUUCUCUAAGGAUUAACAUGGAGCCCCUCUUGUUCUCAGUGCCUGCCACUCUCUCCCCACCCAGGAUCCCAGAAAGGAAGGGAAAGGAGGGGAUGAAUAAGAGGUCCA
rnacentral:lncRNA from 1 species